rnacentral:sRNA from 1 species
ACAAUGAUCAUCUCUGAAAAAUCKAGGCCAAGUUCGAUAUUGGGUCAUCUGCAGUCAAAAACUAGGUCAGUAGGUCAAAUCAUAGAAAAACCUUGUCUAGACACUAGAGGUCACAAUUUUGACAUUAUCUUUUUGAAACUUGGUCACAAUGAUCAUCUCUACAAAAUCUAGGUCAAGUACAAUAUUGGGUCAUCUGGGGUUAGAAACUAGGUCACAAGGUCAAAUCAUAGAAAAACCUUGUCUAGACACUAGAGGUCACAAUUUUGAGCUGUUCUUUUUGAAACUUGGUCACAAUGAUCAUCUCUACAAAAUCUAGACCAAGAUCGAUAUUGAGUCAUCUGGGGUCAAAAACUAGGUCACUAGGUCAAAUCAUAGAAAAACCUUGUCUAGACACUGGAGGUCACAAUUUUGACAUUAUCUUUUUGAAACUUGGUCACAAUGAUCAUCUCUACAAAAUCUAGGUCAAGUAUGAUAUUGGGUCAUCUGGGGUUAGAAACUAGGUCACAAGGUCAAAUCAUAGAAAAACCUUGUCUAGACACUAGAGGUCACAAUUUUGAGCUGUUCUUUUUGAAACCUGAUCACAAUGAUCAUCUCUACAAAAUCUAGGCCAAGUACGAUAUUGGGUCAUCURGGGGUCAAAAACWAGGUCACUAGGUYRAAUCWUAGAAAAACCUUGUSUAKRCAMUAGAGAUCACAAUUUCAGCAUAAUCUUUUUGAAACUUGGUCAGAAUGAUCAUCUCUGCAAAAUCUAGGCCAAGUUCGAUAUUGGGUCAUCUGCGGUCAAAAACUAGGUCACUAGGUUAAACAUAGAAAAUCGUUGUGUAGAAACUAGAGGUCACAAUUUUUGCUUGAUUUUAAUAAAACUUGGUCUCAUGAUCAUCUCUGAUAAAUAUAGAUCAAGUUUGAUAUUAGGUCAUCUGGGGUCAAAAACUAGGUCACUAAGUCAAAUCUUAGAAAAACCUUAUGCAUGCAAUAAAAGCUGUAUUUUUCACUGGAUCAUCAUGAAAGUUGGUCACAAUGUUUGUCUACAUUAAUUCUAGGUCAUUUUUGAAUAUGGGUCAUCUGGGAUCAAAAAUGACCUA